rnacentral:lncRNA from 1 species
CAAAAACUAGACAUCAAUUCAAUAUUUUAAUUCUAAUAAUAAUAUUAUUAAAUACAAUUAAUCUACCACAUCCUAUCCGCAAACCCUCAUUCAUUUACACAAAUCUCUCUUUACCCACUUCAUUCUCCACCACCUCUUCUUCACUCAUUCAUCUUCGACGGCUCUACAUAACUAGCAAUGAUGCAGCGAUGCCCUUGCACCCGAUAGGCGAUGCCUAGUGCCAUUGCAGUUCGUGUGCAGCAGCAACGAGGAGCGAUGUGACUAAUAACUUGUGAUCUAAAAAUAUGAGUCGUGAUUUACAAAGCAAAGAAUUUCAAAGAACUAAAUUACAAAUAUCUAAAAGUUGGUUUAUCAAGAAACAAUGAUUGAAGAUUACACAAAGUCAAUUGGAUGAAAUUAAAAGAUGAAGAAUGGAAACGGUACGAAAAAAUGACUCAAGAUGCACAAAAUACAAAAGCAGGAGUCAAAACGAACAUACCUCAAAAUGUGCACUCAAUUACAGCCAAAAGGGCGCUUGAGCACAUUUUCCAGAACUUGAGCACUCGAUGACCACUAAGAAGGAGCUCAAGCGCCUCGUCUAGCAAGGCGCACUUUUCUUUUUGGACUCAAACACCUUUUUGAAUUUCAACUCUUAUAUAUAUAGAACACCAUCAAAAAUACAUAACAAAAUUCACCCCUUAUUUAUACAGAACACCAUAAAAAAUAUAGAACAAAAUUCAACCCUUAUAUAUACAGAACACCAUCAAAAAUAAAAGAACACCUUUCAUAUCAUAUAAUACACAAAAUCUUGCAAUUAAAAGAAGGCCAGUUCAUC